CCCCAUCUUAUUUAUUUUAUGAUUACGUCUAGCUUCCCAUUAUUUUUCCUCUAUUGACUAUGUUCUGUAGCUUUCAUAUUUGUCCGUUAGUAACUUUCUAAUAUAUUCCUCUCAUAGUUAGCUUCUACAUCCCUACCUUGCAGUAAAGCUUCUCCAGGUUUUUUCUUGACAAUUCUUGCAUCUUUCCUUGUAUUGUCAUAUCUCUUCUUCUCCUUUGCUCUCACUCACUCCUUCCAGCAUAUUCAUGCUUUGCUGCUUCAAUGUCCCCCUUCUGUUCAUCUCCAUUUCCUGCCUGGACUCAGCUUCACUCACCCCCUGUGCCAGUGAGCUCUCUACGACCUUCCAAAUAAAACUCUUCUGAAAAUGACUUCUGUUUUAGUCUUGAGUUAUCUGGG
rnacentral:lncRNA from 1 species